UACAGAGGUCUCAAGCGUUGUUCGGAUUCAUUGGGCGUAAAGGGUGCGUAGGCGGCGCGGUAAGUCGGGUGUGAAAUCUCGGGGCUUAACUCCGAAACUGCAUUCGAUACUGCCGUGCUUGAGGACUGGAGAGGAGACUGGAAUUUACGGUGUAGCGGUGAAAUGCGUAGAUAUCGUAAGGAAGACCAGUGGCGAAGGCGGGUCUCUGGACAGUUCCUGACGCUGAGGCACGAAGGCCAGGGGGAGCAAACGGG
rnacentral:rRNA from 1 species